GACGAACGCUGGCGGCGGGCUUAACACAUGCAAGUCGAACGGACAGGCGCUGCUUUGGUGGGGUGCUCGGUUGGCGAACGGGUGAGGAACUCGUGAGUAACCUGCCCUCGACUUUGGGAUAGCUUCAGGGAACUGGGGCUAAUACCGGAUAGGAGCUCCUGCUGCAUGGUGGGGGUGGGAAAGUUGCGGCGGGUGGGGAUGGACUCGCGGCUUAUCAGCUUUUUGGUGGGGUAGUGGCUUGCCAAGGCUUUGACGCGUAGCCGGCCUGAGGGGGUGACCGGCCCCGCCGGGCCGGGAAUACGGCACAGACUACUACGGGACGCAGCGGUGGAGAAUAUUGUACAAUGGGCGGAAGGCUGAUGUAGCCAAGCCGCGUGCGGGAUGUCGGCAUGCCCGUUGUAAACUACUUCCGCCUGUGAUGAAGAGUGAGUGACGGUACUGGGUAAAGAAGCACCGGCUAACUCCGUG
rnacentral:rRNA from 1 species